rnacentral:tRNA from 1 species
GGGUGUGUGGAUCAUGGGUAGAGCAUUUAACUGCACAUCAAGAGGUGUCUGGUUCAAAUCCAGAUGUCCCCU